AGGCAUAGGGCUGAUGCAUCGCAGUGUCCACAUAUGCAGGGAGGCUGGUUUCCUAGGAAGCCUCCCAAUGAGGAAAUUGUUGGGAAUGUGCUGCAAGGCGCUGCCUCGCUCUGGAGCCAGACGAGAGGCCGGAGCAUCCGCCCCAACAUGGCUGGCUGUGUGAGCCUCAGGAACGCUGGCAGCUCUGCAAGACUCUCUGCCAUCUGCAAAAUGUGGAGGAGGAAAAUGAGCUGCAGAAGGAUCAAAUGACCUGCCUGAGGUGCCCUAUCUGUUGGCACAGGCCAGAGCACAUGGUGGAUGCAGGGGCACCCCCUUCCCUUCUCCUCCCCUCCGGCUCUUUGCUGACAGGAUUCUCUCUUGCCUUCUCUGAUGGUACCUGUGCUACGUGCCACAUCCUUUCCCUCAAUGAAUUUCAGGCAGUGGAAGGGGCCGCAGAAGUUCCUUGACUCAUGAGGCGAGGCAUUCAGCGGCCUCGUGACACCUCCCAGGAUCUGCAGUCAUUGGGCUGCACUUGCCAAUAGCAACACCUGGCAAAAAUAGCUAAGAAGCAGAGCGGCCUGGGCUCAGGAGCUGAGCAACCCCUGACUGGCCAGAUGGAGACUGUGUUGAGCUCUGCCCAAGCCCUGUGAUCCUGGAAAACAGUGAAGUUAAGGAGCCAUCUGCAUUCUAGGGAAUGGCCCACUGCAAAAAAUAGCCUUCCUUAUAGGACGUAGAGGACUCAUGAUGUCCCCUCAUUUAUGAUGAGCCAACACACAGCCCUUCCAAAUUCCGAUUCUUUGCUUCAUAACUGAUGAGCUGUUUUGUUCCCACUGGUCAAUCGGAACAACAUUCUUGCUAACCAGAUUUUGGUUCAGCUCUUCUCCCUCCCCAUGUACCUGCCCUGUGUCCUGUCCUCAUCCUGAGCCAGCACACACCCCUCCUUAGUAGCUCCUCCUGCAGCAGGCUGACCUCGGACUCUCCCUGAUCCAUUGUCCAAAUAUAUCACCCUUUCACCCUACAUCCUCACACCCCAUUCUUUCUAGUUUUGUUCAUUCCUCCCUGUGAAAGAUGAACCCUCUUUGCCUAACCCCGGACCUGCUUGCAGACUGCUAUGAUGGCCAGAGUGUCCCCCCUACUGCAAGAGUCCCUUCUGUCCCUUGCAACAUCUUUUAAAUAAAAUCUCUCUUUACCAA
rnacentral:lncRNA from 1 species